UACAGAGGGUGCUAGCGUUGCUCGGAAUCACUGGGCGUAAAGCGCACGUAGGCGGAUUGCUAAGUCAGGGGUGAAAUCCUGGAGCUCAACUCCAGAACUGCCUUUGAUACUGGCGAUCUUGAGUCCGGGAGAGGUGAGUGGAACUGCGAGUGUAGAGGUGAAAUUCGUAGAUAUUCGCAAGAACACCAGUGGCGAAGGCGGCUCACUGGCCCGGUACUGACGCUGAGGUGCGAAAGCGUGGGGAGCAAACAGG
rnacentral:rRNA from 1 species